rnacentral:rRNA from 1 species
UAUCCUACAUGGAUAACAGUGGUAAUUCUAGAGCUAAUACAUGCUGAAAAUCCCGACUUCGGAAGGGACGUAUUUAUUAGAAUCAGAACCAAUGCCCUUCGGGGUUUUCUGGUGACUCAUGAUAACUCCACAGAUCGCAUGGCCUUGCGCCGGCGAUGGCUCAUUCAAAUUUCUUCCCUAUCAACUUUCGACGGUACGGUCUUGGCCUACCGUGGUUGUAACGGGUGACGGAGGGUUAGGGCUCGACCCCGGAGAAGGAGCCUGAGAAACGGCUACUACAUCCAAGGAAGGCAGCAGGCGCGCAAAUUAUCCAAUCCCGACUCGGGGAGAUAGUGACAAUAAAUACCGAUACAGGGCUCUUUUGGGCCCUGUAAUUGGAAUGAGUACAAUUUAAACCUCUUAACGAGGAACAAUUGGAGGGCAAGUCUGGUGCCAGCAGCCGCGGUAAUUCCAGCUCCAAUAGCGUAUAUUAAAGUUGUUGUGGUUAAAAAGCUCGUAGUCGAACCUCGAGCCUGGCCGGCCGGUCCGCCUCACCGCGUGCACUGGUCUGGCCGGGCUCUUCCCUCUGCGGAACCGCAUGUCCUUCACUGGGCGUGUCGGGGAGGCAGGACUUUUACUUUGAAAAAAUUAGAGUGCUCAAGGCAGGCCAAUGCUCGAAUACAUUAGCAUGGAAUAAUAGAAUAGGACGUUGGUUCUAUUUUGUUGGUUUCUAGGACCGCCGUAAUGAUCAAUAGGGACGGUCGGGGGCAUCAGUAUUCAGCCGUCAGAGGUGAAAUUCUUGGACCGGCUGAAGACUAACUACUGCGAAAGCAUUUGCCAAGGACGUUUUCGCUGAUCAGGAACGAAAGUUAGGGGAUCGAAGACGAUCAGAUACCGUCGUAGUCUUAACCAUAAACUAUGCCGACUAGGGAU